rnacentral:rRNA from 1 species
GUGGGGAAUAUUGGGCAAUGGGCGCAAGCCUGACCCAGCAACGCCGCGUGAGGGAAGAAGGUUUUCGGAUUGUAAACCUCUGUCGCAGAUGACGAAGGAAGUGACGGUAAUCUGUGAGGAAGCCCCGGCUAACUACGUGCCAGCAGCCGCGGUAAUACGUAGGGGGCGAGCGUUGUCCGGAAUUACUGGGCGUAAAGGGAGCGUAGGCGGCCGAUUAAGUUGGAUGUGAAAUCCCCGGGCUUAACUUGGGUGGUGCAUCCAAUACUGGUUGGCUAGAGUACAGGAGAGGAAAGCGGAAUUCCUAGUGUAGCGGUGAAAUGCAUAGAUAUUAGGAGGAACAUCGGUGGCGAAGGCGGCUUUCUGGACUGACACUGACGCUGAGGCUCGAAAGCGUGGGGAGCAAACAGGAUUAGAUACCCUAGUAGUCC